rfam:Ixodes scapularis strain Wikel colony gcontig_1107728976104, whole genome shotgun sequence.
GCAGUCGUGGCCGAGUGGUUAAGGCGAUGGACUAGAAUUCCAUUGGUGUGUCCCCGCACAGGUACAAAUCCUGUCAACUGCG